UACGAAGGGGGCUAGCGUUGCUCGGAAUCACUGGGCGUAAAGCGCACGUAGGCGGGUCGUUAAGUCAGGGGUGAAAUCCUGGAGCUCAACUCCAGAACUGCCCUUGAUACUGGCGAUCUCGAGUUCGGGAGAGGUGAGUGGAACUGCGAGUGUAGAGGUGAAAUUCGUAGAUAUUCGCAAGAACACCAGUGGCGAAGGCGGCUCACUGGCCCGAUACUGACGCUGAGGCACGAAAGCGUGGGGAGCAAACAGG
rnacentral:rRNA from 1 species